GACGCUCCGGGGCGCGAGGAGCCCUCCUGGGGUUCCCUGGCGCUGCCAGUGAGGGGCGCUCGGGGUAGAAGACGGGGACGAGAGGAGGCCGGGCUGGAGAAGGCAGGAUAACCGGAGAGGAGGGACGUGUUGGAGAUAACUGAGGAUGUGGGAUCUAAGCACACAGAGCUAAGUAACCUUCCCAAGGAUAGUGAAGUAGUAAAUGGCAAAGAUGAAAUUCUAUCUGCAGCCGGACUUGGGGCUCUCAAUAUGCAAAGCUUGUCUCUCAGCAAAGGCAUGUGACCCUAUGUGAGCUGCCAAGUCAGAAACCAGUGACUGUGGAGAACAUUUCAGCAAUGGCCAGGUCUCCUGGUCACUGGAACAUUACCGGAUCCUGAGAGCCGCAGAGGGUCUGUCACGUGAAUAUACAACUGAAUCCUAAGGUAAACUGUGGACUUCGGAGGAUUCUGAUGUGUCAAUGGAGGUUCAUCCUUGGUGAAAAAUGUACCACAUGGAGCCGCCUGUGUGACGUCCUCGCCUGAUCAUAGGAGGCCUGCCAAGAUCUGAUGACGGCCUCUGUCCAGCCUCGCACCUGCCGUUACUCCUGACCGUGACUCUAGGUUUUGGCAGCACUGCUAUGCAUCCUCACGCUUGAGACGAGCAAACUGAGCUGAGAGAGAUCAUUUCAUUUUCCCAAGGACACACAGGAGGCUCUCCCCACUGUUGAAGAUACAUCGCUAUUACAAGCUAUUGAAUAUAGUUCCCUGUGCUAUACACUGCCUGCACUAUUUACAAUAGCCAAGAUGUGGAAUCAGCCUAAAUGUCCAUCAACAGAUGACUGGAUAAAGAAGAUGUGGUAAUACUUAUACAAUGGAAUACUCUUCAGCCAUAAAAACCAACAACAUAAUGCCAUUUGCAGCAACAUGGAUGUUCCUGGAGAAUCUCAUUCUAAGUGAAAUCAUGUCUCUGGGAGAAGACAGCUGCCAUGUCAUGAGGAUGCUCAAGCAGCAACUUGGAAAGGUUCAUGUGGUCCAGACAGAAAGGGACUGAGGGCCUCUGCCAACAGACAUGUGCGUGAGCCAUCUUGGAAGCAGAUCUUCCAGUCCCAGUCAAGCUUUCAAAGACUGCAGUCCUGGCCAACAUCUUGGCUAUAAAUUCAUGAGAGACGCUGAACCAGAACCACCCCCACCAGCUAAGCCAAAACCAAAUUCAUAACCCUUAAAGAAAUGUGAGAUAAUAGAUAUUUGUUGUUUUCAACUGCUAAUUUUGAGGAUGUUAUCCAGCAAUAAUACAUAAUGAAUAUAGGCAGAUGCUAUCCUGUUGUUCUCCCCCUUCCUUUUUCACGAUUAUCAGCAGUAUUGCAACAAAACCUCUUUGUACAUCUGUGUUUAUGUCCUCAAGAUAUUAUUUCUGUGGGAUAAAUUCUUAAAAUCGGAAUUUAUGGCUUGCACAUAUUAAAUUUAGGUAGAAAUUGCCUCCCCUCCAAAAUUGUAACAGUCUAUUCUCUCCCAAACAGUCGAUGAGAGUGCCUCUAUAUCUUUGCUAAUUUUAAAUGUUGUCUGUCUUUCUAAUUUUUCUCAGUCUUAUCUGAUAUUUUUGUUAGUUUGUAUUCUUUAACUCUUGGUGAAGAUAAGCAUGUUUUUGUAUGUUUAUGAUUUUAAAAAAUCACCUCGCUUAUUUCAGAUGAAAUUUUCUUUGCAUGCUCCUACCCCUUGCUCUUCCACACUGCUUGCCAUAUAGUUCACAUUACAUAAAUGUGCUGUUUUCAAAUGGAUGAAUGAUAGACUAGGAAAUGCAAUGCAGAUGUGCAGAAAGUCUUCAUUUAACUCCAUGGGAUUGGCUUUUAAUUGGAAAAAAAAUAUCUUAGCAACCAAUUAAUUUAAUUAUCUUUCCUUUACCCUUUAUCAAUAUUUAAUUAUCA